UUUGUACACAGGCUGUUUCUAAUGAGAGUCAUUGACAUUCCCUAUCUGAAUCUGAGUGGGCCAGAUUUACAGCCAAAGAGGGACCAUGUUCUUCAUGUGCGUUUUCCAAAGGAGUGGAAGACCAGUGACCUAUACCAGCUUUUCAGUGCCUUUGGUAAUAUCCAGGUGUCUUGGAUAGAUGAUACUUCAGCAUUUGUAGCAUUAAGCCAACGUGAACAGGUACAAAUUGGUGAGUGAUCUUUCUUUUUUUUUUUUAACAGAA